CGCCUCUUUAAAAGCCGGCGCGCGGCGCUUUCUCGCCCUUUGAGGCCCGCCAUUUUGUGGUGGCGGGUCGUGAGGGAAAUGAGGCGUGUCGCUACUGCUGCAUAGAGUCGGAGGACAGGAGGAGAAGUGGGGAGCCUUUCACUGCAGAACAGCCUCUCAGAACCACACAAGGGGAAGCAGGAUGCUGUGUUUCUGAGACGGUCAGCUGUGAUUCACAUCUGUCCAGAAAGAGAUGGGCUUGAAAAAUGCACUGGUCCACUCAUCUGUGACAAGUGAAAAAUGUUGCUUGACCAGCCGCAGCUCCCUCCCUGUCUCCUUCCCCUCAGCCUCUCUCUCUGUAAUCCUGCAGUCCUCCCCUCCCUCCUCCCAUUGCAAAAGGAAAACUGCCCUCUUCUCCCGAGAAGAGAG